CGCAUCCUUCGGGGUGAGUGGCAGACGGGUGAGUAACGCGUGGGAACGUGCCCUUCAGUUCGGGAUAACCCAGGGAAACUUGGGCUAAUACCGGAUACGUGCGAGAGCAGAAAGAUUUAUCGCUGAAGGAUCGGCCCGCGUCUGAUUAGCUAGUUGGUGGGGUAAUGGCCCACCAAGGCGACGAUCAGUAGCUGGUCUGAGAGGAUGAUCAGCCACAUUGGGACUGAGACACGGCCCAAACUCCUACGGGAGGCAGCAGUGGGGAAUAUUGGACAAUGGGCGCAAGCCUGAUCCAGCCAUGCCGCGUGAGUGAUGAAGGCCUUAGGGUUGUAAAGCUCUUUCGUCCGGGACGAUAAUGACGGUACCGGAAGAAGAAGCCCCGGCUAACUUCGUGCCAGCAGCCGCGGUAAUACGAAGGGGGCUAGCGUUGUUCGGAAUCACUGGGCGUAAAGGGCGCGUAGGCGGCUUUAUAAGUCGGGGGUGAAAGCCUGUGGCUCAACCACAGAAUUGCCUUCGAUACUGUAGAGCUUGAGACCGGAAGAGGUAAGUGGAACUGCGAGUGUAGAGGUGAAAUUCGUAGAUAUUCGCAAGAACACCAGUGGCGAAGGCGGCUUACUGGUCCGGUUCUGACGCUGAGGCGCGAAAGCGUGGGGAGCAAACAGGAUUAGAUACCCUGGUAGUCCACGCCGUA
rnacentral:rRNA from 1 species